rnacentral:rRNA from 1 species
CUAAGGUCCCAAAGUGCGUGUUAAGUGGAAAAGGAUGUGGGAUUUCGAAGACAACCAGGAUGUUGGCUCAGAAGCAGCCACACAUUAAAAGAGUGCGUAAUAGCUCACUGGUCGAGAGGUCCUGCGCCGAAAAUGUCCGGGGCUGAAACACGACACCGAAGCUCGGGAAUCAGAAAUGAUUGGUAGAGGAGCAUUGAAGACGGAACGAAGCCAUACCGAAAGGAGUGGUGGACUGUCUUGAAGAGAGAAUGCCGGAAUGAGUAGCGAGAGAGAAGUGAGAAUCUUCUCGGCCGAAUAUCCAAGGUUUCCAGGGUAAAGCUGAUCUGCCCUGGGUAAGUCGGGGCCUAAGGCGAGGUCGGAAGACGUAGCCGAUGGACAACAGGUUGAAAUUCCUGUACUGCAUUAAAUCAGAACUGUGGGGACACAGAAGGAAGGCAUGAGCCGGAAAAGGAAAAUCCGGUGCAAGCAUGGGAGGGGUAUGACAGGCAAAUCCGUCAUGCAACCCGAGAAUGUGACGCGGAGCGAACAAAAGUAGCGAAGCAUGCUUACCGGCUGUCGAGAAAAGCCGCUAUUGCGUUUAAUGUACCCGUACCGUAAACCGACACAGGUGGAUGAGGAGAGAAUCCUAAGGCCGGCGGGAGAAGCAUUGUUAAGGAACUCGGCAAAAUGACCCCGUAACUUCGGGAGAAGGGGUGCUCUUAGAAAUAAGAGCCGCAGAGAAUUGGCCCAAGCAACUGUUUAGCAAAAACACAGGUCUAUGCAAAACCGAAAGGUGAGGUAUAUGGGCUGACGCCUGCCCGGUGCUGGAAGGUUAAGAGGAGAGGUUAGCGCAAGCGAAGCUUUGAAUUUAAGCCCCAGUAAACGGCGGCCGUAACUAUAACGGUCCUAAGGUAGCGAAAUUCCUUGUCGGGUAAGUUCCGACCCGCACGAAAGGCGUAAUGAUUUGGGCACUGUCUCGACAAUGCACCCGGUGAAAUUGAAAUACCAGUGAAGAUGCUGGUUACCUGCGCCAGGACGGAAAGACCCCAUGGAGCUUUACUCUAGUUUGAUACUGGGAUUCGGUAUUGCAUGUACAGGAUAGGUGGGAGGCUGUGAAGCGAUGACGCCAGUUGUCGCAGAGCCGCUGUUGGGAUACCACCCCUGCAGUACUGGGUUUCUAACCUGCGGCCGUAAUCCGGCCGGGGGACAAUGUCUGACGGGGAGUUUGACUGGGGCGGUCGCCUCCGAAAGGGUAUCGGAGGCGCUCAAAGGUUCCCUCAGAAUGGUUGGAAACCAUUCGAAGAGUGCAAAGGCAGAAGGGAGCUUGACUGCGACACCGACGGGUGGAGCAGGUACGAAAGUAGGACUUAGUGAUCCGGUGGUAUGAAAGUGGGAUUGCCAUCGCUCAACGGAUAAAAGCUACCCUGGGGAUAACAGGCUUAUCACUCCCAAGAGUUCACAUCGACGGAGUGGUUUGGCACCUCGAUGUCGGCUCAUCGCAUCCUGGAGCUGUAGCAGGUUCCAAGGGUUGGGCUGUUCGCCCAUUAAAGCGGUACGCGAGCUGGGUUCAGAACGUCGUGAGACAGUUCGGUCCCUAUCCGGCGUGGGCGUAGGAUAUUUGAGAGGAGCUGUCCUUAGUACGAGAGGACCGGGAUGGACUGACCUCUGGUGUACCGGUUGAACCGCCAGGUUCACGGCCGGGUAGCCAAGUCGGGAAGGGAUAAACGCUGAAGGCAUCUAAGCGUGAAGCCCCCCUCAAGAUGAGAUAUC